CCUUCCUUCGUAUCUGUAUCAGUCACUUCCUCUUCUUGGCUUCUUCAACUGAAUCUCUAUUUCUUUAUCUCCCCUUCUCUCACAUCGAGAUGUUAAUUUCUUCUGCUUUGUUUGUUGAAUUCGAGAACUAGAGGGAGGAGAGGGGCCUUGAGUUGUUGUAAUUGCUGAAUUCUGAAUCUCUGACUCUUUGGUUGAUCGACUCUCACGAUCUCACCUCUUGGGCUCUGUUUGUAAUCUGUCAAUUUCUCAAUCCUUACCAGGUGAUUUUGUUCCUUUUCAUAAACUUAAUCAUAUAUAUGUUAUUUGCUCCUGCCGUUGUCAUUUGUUUGUUGCAUACUUGCAUUUGAGAUUUUUGAAUUUGAUGACAAUGGUGCCUAGAAAGUAUGAAUCAUUCGAAGAAAAAGAAAAUUUGAUGAGAUUAACAAUGAAGAUAUGUUUUAGAGUUAGACUUUUAAGAACUAUGAUAUUUAGAAAAAAAAAUUAAUAGGGCCCAGUUUUUAGAUUUCGCCCAGGACCCCCACAGACUCAGAUACUGAAAUGAUUUCACUACCAGUAAAAAUCCAAGAAUAAAGAAAUGAGAGGGCCAGAGGUGGGGUAGGGUAGAUACGGGAGAAAAAACAACACAAUCAAACACAAAGAAGUAUUAGCGUAUUAGGUAUUUAGGUGCUAAGUGACUACAAGAUGACGUGGUUUAAAUCAAAUGAGGUCAAAUCGAGUUAAUAUGGGUAGGGCUCGGCAUUGGGUCGGGCCGACCCUGCCCUACUUUUUCAAGCCCAAGCCUGGCUUGGGCCUAAGCCUGGUAUUGAUCAUCGAACUUUGGGCCAGGCCUGAUUGGGAAAAUGCAGCCCAUGCCCCGGC